rnacentral:tRNA from 1 species
GGAGAGGUGCCGGAGUGGUCGAACGGGGCUCCCUGCUAAGGAGUUGUGCCCAUUGCGGGUACCGGGGGUUCGAAUCCCUUCCUCUCCG